rnacentral:lncRNA from 1 species
AUUAUAAUCUUAAUUGACAACUAAUAGUGUUUGGCGAAAGGUGCUUUAUUAUAAUAAUGCAAUAAUAUACAAUUAUACCAAACAUGGUAUCAAUAAGCAACAAUGAACAAGUGUGAAUAUGAAGCACCUUAACCCAAUCUGGGUAAGAUUAAAUAUAAAUUAUAAGGAAGGAAAAAAAAAAUCAAAUACAUAAUAAAAUGUGGCUGGAACAUGCUCUUUGCUAAAACCACAUGCUAACUAAGCAUCGGAUGACGCAACAAGGGGAGGCAAAUCUAGUACACGGCGUUAUCAAUUAGGUACAAUGAGAGUAGCCUCCCAUUGUACGCAAUUGACAACUAAUAGUGUUUGGCGAAAGGUGCUUUAUUAUAAUAAUGCAAUAAUAUACAGUUAUACCAAACAUGGUAUCAAUAAGCAACAAUGAACAAGUGUCAAUAUGAAGCACCUUAACCCAAACGAAGUCGCCAAACAGGAAAGAAAAAGAAAAAAAAAAGAAAAUAACAUGUGUGUAAUCAUGAUCCUGUUUAGUCUGACAAUUCAAUAGAAGAAGGAUACCCUUCAUACAGCUUGACAUUGUACAUGAUAAUAAUUUCGCUAAACAAGCAAAUGACAAAUAUGUAAAACUAAAAUUUCAUCAACAACAUUGUAAUUUAUGUGUAAUUCAUGUAAUUAUUAUCUUUGACAACAGUGUCAAAAUCAGUGCUACAUCAUGCAUAAUAAAGGCAUUAAAAAAAAUAUAGAUAAUUUCAGUCAUAAAUAGACACCCUUGUAAAUACAGCGGAGGGAAAGGGGGGACUUCUACACUACACAAUCAUGGCACUAGUGAUCACACUAUUAAACACUACUUAGUCUAGGUGAACUUAUAACUCGCUUAUAAUGCAAGGAACAAAAACAAAUAAUAAUAAUAUUACUAAACAUAUCUGCCUCAAAGAUGUUCUAAACGAACUUGGGGAUAAUCAUACACAGUAACACGCCCGCAUCUGCAGGGGAAUAUUAUCUCUUAAAAAAAAUUAAUCAAAUACAUAAUAAAAUGUGACUGGAACAUGCUCUUUGCUAAAACCACAUGCUAACUAAGCAUCGGAUGACGCAACAAGGGGAG